CCUGGAGAGUCCAGGAUGUGGACUUGAAACUCUGAGAUUGAAGGACUGUAGUUUGUCAGAGAUCAGCUGUGAUUAUCUGGCAGCAGCACUGAAGUCCAACCCCUCCCAUCUGAGAGAGCUGGACCUGAGUAAUGAGUUCCCCUGGUGGUCGACUAAGAACAAGCUGCAGGAUUCAGGAGUGAAGCAUCUGUGUGGUUUCCUGGAGAGUCCAGGAUGUGGACUUGAAACUCUGAGAUUGAGGGACUGUGGUUUGUCAAAGAUCAGCUGUGAUUAUCUGGCAGCAGCACUGAA